UACGUAGGUGGCAAGCGUUGUCCGGAAUUAUUGGGCGUAAAGCGCGCGCAGGCGGUCCUUUAAGUCUGAUGUGAAAGCCCACGGCUCAACCGUGGAAGGUCAUUGGAGACUGGGGGACUUGAGUACAGAAGAGGAAAGCGGAAUUCCACGUGUAGCGGUGAAAUGCGUAGAGAUGUGGAGGAACACCAGUGGCGAAGGCGGCUUUCUGGUCUGUAACUGACGCUGAGGCGCGAAAGCGUGGGGAGCAAACAGG
rnacentral:rRNA from 1 species